GAUGAAGAACGCAGCGAAAUGCGUUAAGUAAUGUGAAUUGCAGAAUUCAGUGAAUCAUCGAAUCUUUGAACGCACAUUGCGCCCAUUAGUAUUCUAGUGGGCAUGCCUGUUCGAGCGUCAUUAAGUCCACUUAAGCCUAGCUUAGUGUUGGGAGACUGCUCCAGUGGUGCUACCCUGUAGCUACCCUGCAGCUCCUUAAAGACAGCGGCGGAGUCGUGUUAUCCUCUGAGCUUAGUAAAUCAUUCUAGCUUUCGAGAGUAUCACUUCACCUGCCGUUAAACCACCUAAUUUUUAUGGUUGACCUCGGAUCAGGUAGGAAUACCCGCUGAACUUAAGCAUAUCAAUAAGCGGAGGA
rnacentral:misc_RNA from 1 species